UGGGGAAUUUUGGACAAUGGGCGAAAGCCUGAUCCAGCAAUGCCGCGUGUGUGAAGAAGGCCUUCGGGUUGUAAAGCACUUUUGUCCGGAAAGAAAUCCUUGGCUCUAAUACAGUCGGGGGAUGACGGUACCGGAAGAAUAAGCACCGGCUAACUACGUGCCAGCAGCCGCGGUAAUACGUAGGGUGCAAGCGUUAAUCGGAAUUACUGGGCGUAAAGCGUGCGCAGGCGGUUUGCUAAGACCGAUGUGAAAUCCCCGGGCUCAACCUGGGAACUGCAUUGGUGACUGGCAGGCUAGAGUAUGGCAGAGGGGGGUAGAAUUCCACGUGUAGCAGUGAAAUGCGUAGAGAUGUGGAGGAAUACCGAUGGCGAAGGCAGCCCCCUGGGCCAAUACUGACGCUCAUGCACGAAAGCGUGGGGAGCAAAACAGGAUUAGAUACCCUGGUAGUCCACGCCCUAAACGAUGUCAACUAGUUGUUGGGGAUUCAUUUCCUUAGUAACUAGCUAACGCGUGAAGUUGACCGCCUGGGGAGUACGGUCGCAAGAUUAAAACUUAAAUGAAUUGACGGGGUCAUAGCUG
rnacentral:rRNA from 1 species